AGAUCUGUUUUCAGCCUGAUGUUUGGUGAAAGGAAGCUUCAGAGCUGCAGGCCAGCUGCCAGGAAUGUCUGAUUUCCUUUCCACCCACUCCUAUGAUCCUCCCUUUUGGCAGUGAUUACCGAUGACCACAGCUGUCAUGCUAGGUCAUGGUAAGCUGUCAAGCAAGGUAGUACAUGAGAUAUACAAGGCCCAGUCCUUGAUCUGUGCUGAAGAACAAGAUCUUAAAUUGAAUCUGGUAUCAGCCAGUGCGUGAGCAUACCACAGCAAGAAGCGUCGGGCUGAUGUCAGCUUGUCAUUCCGGUUUCUUGAGAAGAUGACUCCUGUUCCAGUUGGGAGGUUGAUCACCUUAGCAAGUUCCAUCUGAACUUCAUUUGGGUUUGCACGAGAGUAUCACGUUGGUUUUAGAUUUUGACAAGACUUCUGCUUUUGAUGCUUAUCCUUACCAGAGAGUGAGAAGACCUUUUUACCGUCACAGCUCUUUUCAAAAGACAUGGGAAAGCAUCUGGAAAGCCAGAUUUUAACAGUGGGCAAGUUAUAAAUAGUAACAUACAGAAUCACACUCCGAACGGAAAUUAUUUGAUUUUUUUCAUUACAGCAUUAUAUUACGUUGACUCUGGUUUCCGUGUACUAGAAGCAUGUAUUAUAUCCUUAUCAUAUCCUUAGGUUCCUAGACACAGAGAUCAAUUAACAUAUGUCAAGGGUAAUUUUUACAGUCUAACUGCACCUGGCUAACUAAUAGCACCUACAGAUAUGGACAGAACAAAGUACCAGAAUUUAUGUAUCUUAAAGGAAUUAUUUCCUGUCAGAUGAUGAAGAUGAAAUAAUGGAAAGUAUUCGCUUUUUGUCCAGUCUGUUGGGUUUGAUAUUUUUAUAACUCUUAACCCAGACGAAAUCUUCAACCAUUUUGAAUGUGAAAAAAAAAAUAGAAUUUCUGUCUUUUAUAAGGUACACAUUCAUUAAAAAGGAAACUAAGAAACCAUCUUUAGAGUAAUUCCUUCUAUAAGAAAGAGUCAACACUCCCAACUUGUUCCCUCCACCACACCAAGCUACAGCUUAAAGACACAAUUCUAUAAUUAAAGUGAAAAUAAAUUUUACUUUGUCUUAAUUGAUGCCAUAUUGACAGGUAAUCGCAAUUGGUUUUGUUUGUGUGCCUAGUACAUUGUGCUCAUGUUCAGUGCUGUAAAAGG